GUCCAGCUCAGUGAGUGCGCGGGGCUUCCGGGCGGGCGUGGGCUGCGGCGACCCGGGCUAGGCGCGGCCACAUCGCCUUCCAGCGGAGCUUCGUCUCAGUCCGUCUCGCUUUUAGCAGUGGUCUCACUGGGUAGCUCUGGCUGGCCUGGAACUCGCAGCGUAAAGACGGGCUGGCUUCGAACUCCUUCCUAGACAGACCUUUGCCUCUGCCUCCCAAAGGCCCUGUGAUUAGAGGCGUGCGCCACCGCGCCCAGCCUGUCUCAGUUUUUUACCACACAUCGUAGAAAUCGUUUUACAGAUGAGGCACCUAAGGCAACCAUUUUCUGCAAAGCCUACCACGGAGGCCACCUAACCAUACGCCUUGCUUUGGGUGGCUGCACCAACCGGCCUUUUUACCGCAUUGUGGCUGCUCACAACAAGUGCCCCAGGGAUGGCCGAUUUGUGGAGCAGUUGGGCUCCUAUGAUCCACUACCCAACAGUCACGGAGAAAAACUAGUUGCCCUCAACCUGGACCGUAUCCGGCAUUGGAUUGGCUGUGGGGCUCACCUCUCUAAGCCUAUGGAGAAACUUCUAGGUCUGUCUGGCUUUUUCCCCCUUCAUCCAAUGAUGAUCACCAAUGCUGAGAGACUACGGAGGAGGAGAGCACGAGAGGUCCUCUUAGCGUCUCAGAAAGCAGAGUCAGAGGCCAAAGAGACAGAAGCAAGCUGACUUCAGUGAACACUGCCGUGGCCGCAAAGUCAAGGGCCUGUGAAACUUGUGCAUAAAGUUUUGUGUUGGGUUUUAAGGAUCAAUAAAUGGAGUUUUCUAAGUCAC